rnacentral:rRNA from 1 species
AGCGAACGCUGGCGGCAGGCCUAACACAUGCAAGUCGAACGAACCCUUCGGGGUUAGUGGCGGACGGGUGAGUAACACGUGGGAACGUACCUUUAGGUUCGGAACAACACAGGGAAACUUGUGCUAAUGCCGAAUGUGCCCUUCGGGGAAGGAUUAUCGCCUUUAGUAGCGGCCCGCGUCUGAUUAGCUUGUUGGUGAGGUAAAGGACUCACCAAGGCUUCGAUCAGUAGCUGGUCUGAGAGGANGAUCAGCCACACUGGGACUGAGACACGGCCCAGACUCCUACGGGAGGCAGCAGUGGGGAAUCUUGCGCAAUGGGCGGAAAGCCUGACGCAGCCAUGCCGCGUGAAUGAUGAAGGUCUUAGGAUU